rnacentral:rRNA from 1 species
UACGUAGGGUGCGAGCGUUAAUCGGAAUUACUGGGCGUAAAGCGUGCGCAGGCGGUUUUGUAAGACAGAUGUGAAAUCCCCGGGCUUAACCUGGGAAUUGCAUUUGUGACUGCAAGACUAGAGUACGGCAGAGGGGGGUAGAAUUCCACGUGUAGCAGUGAAAUGCGUAGAUAUGUGGAGGAAUACCGAUGGCGAAGGCAGCCCCCUGGGUCGAUACUGACGCUGAGGGGCGAAAGCAUGGGGAGCGAACAGG